rnacentral:tRNA from 3 species
ACUAUUUUGGCAGAAAAAAUGUGAUGAUUUUAGAAGUCAUGAAUAUAUAGUUAUUUAUAUAUAUAGUA